CCCUUAGACGUUCUGGGCCGCACGCGCGCUACACUGACCAGUGCAACAAGCAUCCGUCCUUGGCCGACAGGCUCGGGCAAUCUUUGAACGCUGGUCGUGAUGGGGAUAGACUUUUGCAAUUUUUGGUCUUCAACGAGGAAUUCCUAGUAAACGCAAGUCAUCAACUUGCAUUGAUUACGUCCCUGCCCUUUGUACACACCGCCCGUCGCACCUACCGAUUGAAUGGUCCGGUGAAGCCUCCGGAUUGGCGCGCACCUCGGUGCCGCCGAGAAGUUGGCUGAACCUUACCAUUUAGAGGAAGGUGAAGUCGUAACA
rnacentral:rRNA from 1 species